UACGAAGGGGGCUAGCGUUGCUCGGAAUGACUGGGCGUAAAGGGCGCGUAGGCGGUUCACACAGUCAGGCGUGAAAUUCCUGGGCUUAACCUGGGGGCUGCGUUUGAUACGUGUGGGCUAGAGUGAGGAAGAGGGUCGUGGAAUUCCCAGUGUAGAGGUGAAAUUCGUAGAUAUUGGGAAGAACACCGGUGGCGAAGGCGGCGACCUGGUCCUUGACUGACGCUGAGGCGCGAAAGCGUGGGGAGCAAACAGG
rnacentral:rRNA from 1 species